CAGAGGGAGACUCCGUCUCAGGAAAAAGAAAAAAAAAAAGAGCCUCAUCUUUUUCUUUUCUUUUCUUUUGAGGCUUUGUUGAGAGUUUCUGGGAUACAUACCCAGUGUGGUAGGCAGCCUCUAAAACGGCUCCCAUUGAUUUCUGCCUCCUGAUAUUCAUGCUUUUUUUUAAUGCCCUUCCUUUUAAUAUGGACUAGGUCUAGUGAUUUUUUUCUAACAAAGAGAAUAUGUCAAAUGUAACGCGAUGUCACUUCUAAAAUUGGUUUACAGAGAGACUGUGACUUCUGUCUUGCUCGCCAUUUCUCAUUCUCUCUUUUUGGAGCUCUUGCUCUGGAGGAAGUGAGCUGCCAUGUUAUAAACUGCCCUAUGAAGAGGUCCAUGUGACAAGGAACUGAUGUCCCUGGCCAACAGCCAGUGAGGCCCUAAGGCCUGCAACACUCUGUGAGUGAGCCUGGAAAUGAAUCUUCUGAGCCUACCAACAACCACACUGAUCCUUAAAAUGGCUAUAGCUCCAGGUCCUUGAUUGCAGUCUUUCAAAAGACUGUGAUUCAGGGCAUUCAGGAAAGUCAUGUUUGAAUUUUUGACCCACGGAAACUUUGAGAUAAUAAGUGUUGUUUUAUUAUUUAUUUUUAAGCCACCAAAUCGGGGAGUAAUUUGUUACACAGAAAUAGAAAGUACAUCCAGGAAUGUGACUGUUGGGUUGUAGGAUGCAUAUGUAGGGGGAAAAUAACUCCCAUACGUUUGUAAUCGGAAAAGAUCCCCGUUACAAAAGACAGAUUAACAAGAGAAAAACAAGUUUAUUAACGUGUAUUUCAUAUGUACAAGGGAGAUAUCAAUGAUUAGUUCUCAAAGAAGUAGCUUUGAAUUCUAGCUUUUAUUUUAUUUUCAACAAAGAAGAGUAAAUUUUUAGAGAAGUGACAGCACAAAGGAAAAGGACUUGGAGUCUCUACAAGCAGCAACUUGUGGGGAAGGCAAACAAAUGGCAGAUAAAGGAUGGUAAAGGAGGUGGUGUUACAUUUCUGUACUGCUGGUGCAUUGAGAGACCCAAGCAAGUAUCAGGCUUUUCAUCCGUGGAACACAUGCUCCAGAACCUUCUAGCUGUUCACUUGUGAUGGAUACUCUGUUAGCCUUCACUAUUGAAUGCACUUUUAAAAAUGAUCAAAACCAACAUUUCCCACAGUAUGAAAUGUUUGCAAAAAAGGAUUACAUGCUUUGGGUGUGGACGCCAAGAAGUGACAAAAAAAGGAAGUUGGGAUCAUUACGGUUAACCCAAGCAUGUUGGAAACCAGAGAGAGGCUGAGUGCUAUCAUACACAGACCCAUGAAUCGGA
rnacentral:lncRNA from 1 species